UACCCUACAGUUUCGACACCGGCAACAGCAUUUGCAUCCUGUAAUUCAUAAGAUUAUUCAUUGGGCACACACCACAGCGGCGCUUGACACACUGGCAUCAUAAAAACGUGGGGUUGAAAAAAGAAAUACAAACAUCUACAGAAUGACCAACAAGAAGCCAUUUGAUUACCAUUCGCCCAAUAAUUAAUCUUAUAGAAAAACAUGAUUUGGACAUAGAGAUGAUUCUGAUUAAAAUAGGGUGCAUUGGAAAUAAGUGUAGUGUAAUAAUCAAACUCAGUCGCCAGAGGGCGUAGGCUACAUUACGAUACCUGCUGGGCGUUUUGGAACGUUCAGAUGGAAAAAGGAUAUUUCGAACAAAUAUGCCUCACUAACAUGUACAAUAACGAAUCACAUCGGAUCUAUUCAGUUCAGUUCUAGCUGCAACGUUCGGCAACCACACGUGCGCUUUCUCCAAAAAAGAAUUAGUUGGGACAUGGACUUACAACAGGGUUCCCCAACUUCUAUUUAUCCGCUCAAGAAAAAAAUUGUCCCGCAGCUGACUAGAUGAUCCCUGGACUACAAGGUAUCGAAAGGGUUCCACAGGGAUGCUGGCCCAUAUUGACUCCAAUGCUACCCACAGUUGUGUCAAGUUGGCUGGAUGUCCUUUGGGUGGUGGACCAUUCUUAAUACACAAGGGAAACUGUUGGGAUUGAAAAACCCAGAAGCAUUGUAGUUCUUGACUCUCUUACCGGUGCGUCUGGCUGCUACUGCCAUACCCCAUUCAAAGGCACUUAGAUAUUUUGUCUUGCCCAUUCACCCUCUGAAUGGCACACAUGCACAAAUGGAUUUAACCAGUGACAUCAAUAAGGGAUCAUAGCUUUCACCUGGAUUCACUUAAUGUUUUGUUCACUCAGUGUCUACUAUUUUUCUUAAUAGUAUGCUUCUCUAAAUAUUUGUGAGUGAGUUGAGUGUUUGUUUUGUUUCUGGUUUUGAUAUUGUCCUUUGUACAGUACAUAAGAGUAAGUGAAUUAAAACAUUGUUACAGAUUAAAGCCUUUGACAAUGUUUAAAUAAAUUAAAUAUAUGAGUAGAUACUCAGACAAGCACUUUUCAAUAAAUGUUGU